AUUGAACGCUGGCGGCAUGCCUUACACAUGCAAGUCGAACGGCAGCGGACCUUCGGGUGCCGGCGAGUGGCGAACGGGUGAGUAAUAUAUCGGAACGUACCUUUCAGUGGGGGAUAACGUAGCGAAAGUUACGCUAAUACCGCAUAUUCUGUGAGCAGGAAAGCAGGGGAUCGCAAGACCUUGCGCUGAUUGAGCGGCCGAUAUCAGAUUAGCUAGUUGGUGAGGUAAAGGCUCACCAAGGCGACGAUCUGUAGCGGGUCUGAGAGGAUGAUCCGCCACACUGGAACUGAGACACGGUCCAGACUCCUACGGGAGGCGAGCAGUGGGGAAUUUUGGACAAUGGGCGCAAGCCUCGAUCCAGCCAUGCCGCGUGAGUGAAGAAGGCCUCGGUUGUAAG
rnacentral:rRNA from 1 species